rnacentral:rRNA from 1 species
UGAGGAACAUGACCUUCGGCGGGGGGAUAGCCGGCCCAACGGCCGGGUAAUACCGCGUACGACCACAUGGGGACAUCCCUGAGUGGUGAAAGCAGCAAUGCGCCGAUGGAGUGCCUCGCGGCCUAUCAGCUAGUUGGUGAGGUAACGGCUCACCAAGGCGACGACGGGUAGCUGGUCUGAGAGGAUGGCCAGCCACAUUGGGACUGAGACACGGCCCAGACUNUACGGGAG